AUUGAACGCUGGCGGAAUGCUUUACACAUGCAAGUCGAGCGGCAGCGCGGGGGCAACCCUGGCGGCGAGCGGCGAACGGGUGAGUAAUAUAUCGGAACGUACCCCGUCGUGGGGGAUAACACAGCGAAAGCUGUGCUAAUACCGCAUACGACCUGAGGGUGAAAGCGGGGGAUCGCAAGACCUCGCGCGAUGGGAGCGGCCGAUAUCGGAUUAGCUUGUUGGUGAGGUAAAGGCUCACCAAGGCGACGAUCCGUAGCUGGUCUGAGAGGACGACCAGCCACACUGGAACUGAGACACGGUCCAGACUCCUACGGGAGGCAGCAGUGGGGAAUUUUGGGACAAUGGGGGCAACCCUGAUCCAGCCAUGCCGCGUGCAGGAUGAAGGCCUUCGGGUUGUAAACUGCUUUUGUACGGAACGAAAGGUCUUUUCUAAUAAAGAAGGACCCAUGACGGUACCGUAAGAAUAAGCACCGGCUAACUACGUGCCAGCAGCCGCGGUAAGCACGAG
rnacentral:rRNA from 1 species